GUGCAGAUGAUGGAAACUUUUUGGAACUGAGCGAGCUGAUGCGUUCAAAGGAACCACUGAUGCAC
ensembl:snoRNA SNORD42 Small nucleolar RNA SNORD42